AUAACACUUUAAAGGAGAACGCCAUCAUCUUGAUUUUAUUGAUGUUCUCAACGGAAUUUGAGGACACGAACUCGAAUGCGGCGUCUUUGUGUACCUGCCGUUUAGCCUCCGGUUAAUGAGGAAAUGAAUGCGUGUUAUCACACGGAUCCGUAAUAAACGGACACAAAAUGCCGUUGUUGCUAUUUAUGUGCUCGCUGACAUUAAACAACCUUCCGGCGUUUUUGCUCCAUUUAAACGGUGUCAUAAUCCGGGUUUUCUGUAUUACUGUAAUUUCACCCCACUUGAAGAUGGUGCAAAAUCCGUCUUGAGUGAAUAUUGCGGAGGUCUGCGGCUUCCAGGGUGGGGAGGAUGCUCGCCUACCCGCUUGGCUUCCAUCCCGAGCGCAGACAACAGACGUCGUCAUUUUCCAACUCAAUUUACAGAUGCAUUAGGAGAUGCUGAGGCGCAGCCAUAUCUAUCGCUCAAAUGCAAUCAGGCCUCCUUUGUGCUUUAAGAGGAAAUUGAGGGUGCCGUCGUCAUCGACUUUCUUUCCCACUUCGCUCUCAUGUGGGCUUUUUUUUUUUUUCUUCUGCCAAUAUAACAUACACAACCGCAUACGCACUCUUUAAUGAUUGCUCUUGUUUCCCUUUUAGGCUGCAUUAAAAACGCAAAGAUGGAUGUCGAAUAUCAGCUUUUAAAGAUUUGUCUCAUAGAUUGACUAAGCUGUCAUUCGAGAAGUGCAGACCAGGGGAGAGCGGGAAGAGUAGACUGCGGCCCCCCAAAGGAGAAGCAAUGAGAUGUAACCGUUCCUCUUCUCCCUAAUGGGAAGAGGAUUUCUCCACCAUUUCAGCACCAUCUGCCGGCUCGGUGGGGCGGGACAGCUGGUGUUGUGAAUCAGGCCGCCACAUUCCAGGGAACGGCUACUUCCCAACACCAGGGUCUCUCCUUUACCAUUCGCACGCUUCACCUCCAUGAGCUCAAAAAUACAUGAAUGAUUUGGAGACAAAAGAUAUUCUCUACCCACAGCCUUAUGUAAGAGAUUUCAUGUCAGAUAAUAAGAUUAUUUGUGAUGAAUGUGGUGUCUAGUUUAGCUAUUUCAAAAUCAUGGGAAAACUGUUUGAUGGGCUUAAAUCAAGCCAACACUAGCUAUCUUGAGAAUAUGAUUUCUGUGUGAGAGAGACUAAGUUAAUAAAGGAAAAUAAACAA